rnacentral:tRNA from 1 species
GGGAGUGGCUGAGAUUCUGGUGUUCUCCCCGGUCUUCAAAACCGAGUGAGGGGCACGUGCUGUCCCUGGUGGGUUCGAUUCCCAUCCACUCCC